GGAAUAGGCAUCAGACCAAAAAGAAGAAAGCAAAACAACAGGACAGCUUUCCCAGGAGGGAGCUGGGUUUAAUGACAGGGAGCGGGAGAGCUCAGAAAGACAGGCAUCUAUCACCGAGCUGUUUCACGCACAGUAUUUAAAGCCCAGUCUCUAGAUCCACAGCCACUCCAGUGGCUUUACUAAAGCAGCACUCAGUGUACACUAGAGAUCGCGAUGGGUCUCGUGUGCAAAUCCACAUGUUCCAAAGGUUCGCUUUGAAAGAGCAGACAUUACGGCCAAGUGUCUCAGCACACCUUUGUCAUGUAGUGAUUGACCUUGGCUACCCUCCAGGAGCACAAGUUUCGGGAAGAGCAGUCACUUUGAAAAUCCAGCUCCAGCCAUCUGUCACGCUCUGCUGCUGCCUCUUCUCCAUCUGAUUGUUAAAUCCUACUUGGGCAGCUGGAAAGAUGCAGUCCCUGAAGCCCACAAAAGAAUCCCACAGGACCGUGGCCUCUUCCCACCCCAAAGCUGCUUUCUGGGGUCAGUUGGUGGUGGCCCAGCUGGGAAGAGCAUCAUAACAAAACCAGAAGUGCUCUCUAAAAUACCUGAUAUCGUCUUGCAAUUAACAGAAAGAAGGUGGGUUUGCUCUAGACUUUCCACGAG